rnacentral:rRNA from 1 species
UCGGGAAUUUUGGGCAAUGGGCGCAAGCCUGAUCCAGCAAUGCCGCGUGAGUGAAGAAGGCCUUCGGGUUGUAAAGCUCUUUUGUCAGGGAAGAAACGGUAGUAGCGAAUAACUAUUACUAAUGACGGUACCUGAAGAAUAAGCACCGGCUAACUACGUGCCAGCAGCCGCGGUAAUACGUAGGGUGCAAGCGUUAAUCGGAAUUACUGGGCGUAAAGCGUGCGCAGGCGGUUGUGUAAGUCAGAUGUGAAAUCCCCGGGCUCAACCUGGGAAUUGCAUUUGAGACUGCACGGCUAGAGUGUGUCAGAGGGGGGUAGAAUUCCACGUGUAGCAGUGAAAUGCGUAGAUAUGUGGAGGAAUACCGAUGGCGAAGGCAGCCCCCUGGGAUAACACUGACGCUCAUGCACGAAAGCGUGGGGAGCAAACAGGAUUAGAUACCCAAGUAGUCCCUGAGCGGGCUGGCAAGGCGC